CUAAGAAUAUUCCGCAAUGGACGAAAGUCUGACGGAGCGACGCCGCGUGGAUGACGAAGGCCGAAAGGUUGUAAAAUCCUUUUGUCGAGGAAGAAUAAGCCGGGGAGGGAAUGCCCCGGUGAUGACAUGAAUCGAUGAAUAAGCCCCGGCUAACUACGUGCCAGCAGCCGCGGUAACACGUAGGGGGCGAGCGUUGUUCGGAAUUACUGGGCGUAAAGGGCAUGUAGGCGGUUCGAUAAGCCUGGCGUGAAAUGCUGCAGCUUAACUGCAGCACUGCGUUGGGAACUGUUGGACUAGAGUUAUGGAGAGGGAGCUGGAAUUCCAGGUGUAGGGGUGAAAUCUGUAGAUAUCUGGAAGAACACCAAAGGCGAAGGCAAGCUUCUGGCCAAUAACUGACGCUGAGGUGCGAAAGUGUGGGGAUCAAACAGG
rnacentral:rRNA from 1 species